rnacentral:lncRNA from 1 species
CAAGUGAAGAGCUGACAAAAACAAAGCACUAUGAAGAGGAAAAGUUUUUUCAUCAUCAUAAACCUCUCUUCAAGAAACCAAUUCCAUUUAUUAAACCUGUUCCAAAACCAAUUCCAUUUGUAAAACCAAUUCCCAUUUAUAAGCCUUAUCCCAAACCAGUUCCAGUUCCGGUUUAUAAGCCAAUUCCAGUUUAUAAGCCAGUUCCGAUUUAUAAGCCAAUUCCAAAGCCAGUUCCAGUUUAUAAGCCUGUUCCAAUUUAUAAGCCAGUUCCAAAGCCAGUUCCUAUUUAUAAGCCAAUUCCAAAACCGGUUCCAGUUUAUAAGCCAAUUCCAAAACCAGUUCCAGUUUAUAAGCCAGUUCCAAUUUAUAAGCCAAUUCCAAAACCGGUUCCUAUUUAUAAGCCAAUUCCAAAACCAGUUCCAGUUUAUAAGCCAAUUCCAAAACCAGUUCCAGUUUAUAAGCCAAUUCCAAAGCCAGUUCCAGUUUAUAAGCCAAUUCCAAAGCCAGUUCCAGUUUAUAAGCCAGUUCCAAUUUAUAAGCCUAUUCCAAAACCAGUUCCUAUUUAUAAGCCUAUUCCAAAACCGGUUCCUAUUUAUAAGCCUAUUCCAAAACCGGUUCCAGUAUACAAGCCUGUUCCAAUUCCAGUGUUUAAGCCUAUACCAAAACCAGUACCCUUUUAUAAGCCAAUUCCUGUUUUUAAGCCAGUUCCAACCCCAUUUCCUAUUAUCAAGCCUAUACCAAAACCAGUACCAUUUUAUAAGCCAAUUCCUGUUUUUAAGCCGGUUCCAAAACCAUUUCCUAUUAUCAAGCCUAUUCCAAAACCAGUUCCUUUUGUUAAACCUAUUCCUAUUUUCAAACCUAUUCCAAAACCGUUGCCUUGAAACCAUAGUGAUAAUUCUUUUAUGCCAAAGCCUUUCUUCAAAAACCCUAAUCCUUAUAAGUUUGCACUUCACCCCAUUUGAGAAGCCACACCCCAUAUUUGCCAAUUCCAAUUCCAAUUUCUUUAAAACUAUCAUGGUUAGAAAAUGUUUAUCCAUUCUAUUUUCAUUAUGGUCACGCCUGCUCUAAAAAAAUCAAUGGCGUUUCUGUAAAAACCCUAUCCUUUGCAUUGUGUUAGAAUAUAUGCAUUUCUCUCAAUAAUGUUGUAUAUCAGUUUGUGUAUCAUUCCAAGAAUAGAAAUAAUAUUUCUCUAUUUUUGGCUUUAAUAAUAUUUGUAUUUUUCCUUUUGAUAUUUUUUGUGACUCCCUUUUCAGAGCAUGGCUACUCCAUUACUUUUAAGUUAAACUAACUAGAUAAAUUAUGCUAACUUUUAGGGUUGGGUUAAUUUAUAACUUCACUCUAAUCGUUUCCAAAAUAUAGAGUAAUUAAAUGCUUUAUUUGUGAAGGUGGAAAAAAAGUAAUCUAGGUCAAGUAACGCAUAAUGAAAUCUGUUAUCAUGCACGUGUUGAUCAAUGUAAUGAAAUUAAGGUGUAUCUCGAAAAUGUAAACUGAAAAAAUAAUUAUAAUAAUUCAUUGUACGAUCGAAAAUCAUUAAAUAUAAAUUAAUUUUAAAUACUAAAAAUUAUUGUAUUGAUUAAAUUAGAUACUAUCAAAUAUAAACUUUUAACAAUCACAAAAUUGUGCUUUGGGAUAUACAAAACAGAUAGAAAUCUAGAAACAUACAUUUUAUGUAUACACAUCACACAUUUUAGAAUUUAGAGAGUGAUAAAAUGACUAACCUUAACAUUGAUUCUUAAGUAAAUUAUUCUUAUUGUUUCAUUGUUUACCCCUAAUAGAUGGUCAAAUCUCUGGCUUUAAAGUGACUCUACUUUUGUCAUACAUGCUUUUAACAACCACAAAAUAGUGCCUUGAGAUAUGUGAAAUAGAUGGAAAUGUUACCUUAAAAGAACUAGAAACAUCCAAUUUAUGUAUUAAAAACACAUUCAAAGACUGAAACAAGUGUGUUGAUAAAAUAACUAACAUUCACAUUGACUCUCAAAUGGUCAUGGUUUCACCACUUAUCCCUGAAAGAUGGUUAAACUCUAUAAUUUUAAAGUGACUCUAUUUUGGUGAUAGAGGCUUUUAACAACAACAAAAUAACGCCUUGGGAUAGAAAUCAAAUGGAGCUUAUGUUUUGAAAGAAUUAUGAAGUGGAUCAGAGGAAUAACUCAUUAGUGUAUUUUUUUAAUUAAAAAUUAAAAUAAAAAAUAAUUUAAAAUAUUAAUGAUUUGUAUUAUAUUAUUGAAAUGACUUAAAUAUAUAAAAUAAAUAUACCUUAAAUUAUUAAUACGUACUAAUUAACUUCCAAUUAUUAAUAAUUAAGAAGUAAUUUUAUAUAUGUAUUUGGAUAAUGUGUGAUAAUUGGGUAGGUGUAAAAUCAGUGCAUCAUGAACAAUUAAUCCAACAUUUUCAACCUUUUUAUAUCAUGGAAUUAUCUGAAAAACAUAAUAGAGUUUGGAAAGGAGUGUGGAUAGAAAUUGUAUGGACCAUAUGGAACCAUAGGAAUAACAUACUUUUCGUUGGAUGAAAAGUGCUCAUUGAGAAUCAAAUAGAACCUUAUAGUGGGAGACACUACAAGAAAAAUCAUCAAAUAGAAACCAAUUUUAGAGACAAAAAAUAAUUAAUUGUUAUAGUGACUAAAUUAGAGACUAUUUUAGAAAAUAAAAAAAAUUGGUUUCUAAAUUAGUUUCUAUUAUUGUUAAAUGGUUUACUAAAUUGGUAUCUAAUUAGCUACCAAGGUUUUUGCUACCAAAUUUAGAAACUAAAUAGUUGGUAGUUAAAACUUGGUAGUUAAUUAGAUACCAAUUUAGAAACUAUUUAACAAUAAUAGAAACUAAUUUAGAAAUAAAAAAAAAAUUUAGUCUUUAAAAUGGUCUUUAAUUUAGUCACUAUAGCAACUAAUUAUUUUUUGUUUCUAAAAUUAGUUUCUAUUUUAUGAUUUUCUUGUAGUAGUGAGAGGUGAGGUAAAGGGCAGGUGUGAUACUUUUAGAGCUAGUGGUGGUUCAGGCUACAAGGACUGCAAUUCUAAUGAACCAUCUGGUAUAUUAUGCAGAUGCAUCUAUGAAGUUGGUGUUGAUUCGUGGGGAGUGUUUUGGGCUUAUUUGAUCCAUUUGUUUUGUCUAAAGUCUGAGAGAUAGUAGGUAAUUUUGGGCAGGAACAUGCAGAAGUGGUAAUAAGUAGAAUUGGUAGGUUUUGUGUCCAAUGCGUAUUAUGAGCUUAUUGUCAUGAGAGCAAUAAGGAAAUGUAUUAGGAUGGUUUGCCAGAAAUUCUGCUCCUAUUAUGAUAGUUUUAAAUCGUAUGAAUAUCAGCUGACAAAUAAAUCUGCACUUUUAAUCAGGGUGGAUGCAAGCUCUGUAGCAGCUCAGAAGGACAGUUACCAAGUAUGAUGUGAUACAAAUAAUCUUUGAAAAAUAUUACUUUAACAACUAUAAAUCAACUCAAGUUUUAGUAAAAUAUUAUGAGUGCUGAUAUGUUAACAACUUUGUAUUGAAUUUUAACUCGAAAGUAACAUUAGAGCAAAUUAGAGUUGUGAACUGAUAUCUUUCGUUAUAUAGUCGUCAAAAGUAACAUUUUUCAGAGAUUAUUUCUCCUUCAACUUUUAUCAGUUGUAGUCUGAAACAAUUCAUAUUGGGUAAUAAAUAAACCAUAGAAAAAGAUUGCAAAAACUGGUCCUAUGCUGCUAUUUUGCUAGCUUACAAGGAACUUUUUGCCCCAUGCAAGUUAUCUAAUUUGUAGGUUACCAGGUUUGGAGACCAAUUGUCUGCUGAGUGAUAUAAGGAAGAGGGAGGUUUGUAAGUUGUAUAGCAGCAUAAUGUGCUAUCUAUAAAGCAAACUAUUAAAAAGUGAACUUUAAGCCUAACUCAACCCUAUAAAACCGGUUCAUAAGGUUGAGGUUUGCAUUUAUUUAUAUACAAUGAAAUGUCCUAAUCUCUAGUCGAUGUGAGAUUUCCAACACAAACCAUGGAAAGAUGUAUGCAGUAAUGACAUUAGAUACAUUUGAGUAUGUUUGCUCUUCCACCUGUUCUAUUAACUCUUCUACGAUUGGCAAGACUUGUGCCUGCUAAUAUAAUAUUGUUUUGCUGAUAUAAAAAAAUUAUAACUUGUGAACACCCUUAAUUAAUUAUCAUGUAUUCUUAAUGUAAAAGGCAAAUGCCAAUUAAAAAAAUACUUAACAAAAACAAAGUUCAGUACUGUUUGUUACUUUAAUUUUUGUUUUUUAUCAGCAAUGAAUGAAAUAAAUUAAUGUUACUUUAAUAUGUUAUCAAUCUUACGGAAGGUAACAUUAAGAAGCUCAUUAAGGAGAAAUGUUGAUUACAUGUAUUCCAAUGUAGUACACAAGAAGGGUACAAAAGGAUUAUGCAAUCAUUAUUGAGGUUGGAAUGUGCCCUAUCUCUCUAUAUAAAUGUAGUACAAUAUAGUUAUGAUUUCAUGGAGUAGGAAUUGGCUUCAGAAUUGGCAAUGGUGGUAGAAGUGGCUUCUUGAAUUUGGGAUCAAGGGGUAGCUUAGGAAUAGGCUUUUUGAAGAAAUUAUUUGGUUUUAAAAACUCCUCUGACUCAACAGUAGGGAUGGGCUUUUUCACUGUAAAGGGUUUUGGAAUUUCCUUAACAAAAGGAAUUGGCUUUGGAAUUGGUUUAAGAAUAGGAAUUGGCUUAACAAUGGGAACUAGUUUUGGUACAGGCUUAUAUACUUUGACAGGGACUGGCUUCACAACAGGAAUUAUUUUUGGGAUUGGCUUAACUAUUGGAAUUUGCUUGGUUGGGAAAAAACCUUUGAAUUUUGCUUCUUCGUUGGGAAUUGGCUUUAGAAUAGGCUUAACUAUGGGAAUUGGUUUUGAUGUAGGCUUAUAAACUGGAAAAGGAAAGGGUUUAACAGUAGGUUUAACUAUUGGAAUUGGCUUUGGAAUAGGUUUAAGAAUAUGGAUUGGUUUUGGAAAAAAUCCUUUGAAUUUUGCUUCUUCAUCAUCUCCUUCAAUACUUGCUUUUGCAAACUCUUCAUUUGAAACCUUCCCAUCUGUGUUCACCUCAUUCCCUACAUCAGAAAUGAAUAAAUAUAUGCAAGUCAAACACUCAUAAAUAUUUUCUGCUACCUUCUAACAAUCAUACUGUUUUAAUAAAUGUAAGAAGGACUAACACAAAAACAUAUGAUGAUAUUUCCUAAACUAUGAUCCUAACAAAAUUAUUAUAAUGUAUGUGUAAGUAAUAGCAUGAGCCAGAGACCUGUAAUUUGAGUUGUGGCCAAAACAGAAGGAGCAUAAGAGAAGGUGGCAAGGAAGAAGAACAGAAGUGCACAUUGCAGAGUGAAACCUUUUGUCAUUUAGAACACAAGUAAUGAAAGCUGAAAAGGAAAUAUCUGAAGGCUUGAGUAACUCCUUUCUCAUAUUCUCAUUAUUUAUAAUACCUACCUUCAAUUGGGACUAACAUUGGUCAAUAUCCUCAUUACAUGUUUUAAAGUAUACUCCGAAAUUUUAUAUUUGGUUCAGGGAUUAUUAUGUGGGUGGUUCCAAAUUUGACUUAUGUUUAGAGAGGUCAAUAGUGUUUAACACCGUUGUUGCUGUUGCUGUGAUAAUGCAUGGAUUCUCCCUCCAUUGAAUGAGCCUCCCAAAUUAGGUGCUUCUUUUCUUUGAGUGUUUUGGAGAAGAGAAAUGCUGAUUGGGAAAAAAGGUAUAUAGCUAGAAAAAUACUAAGUAAGAAUCUGUUUUUGUGCAGUUGCAACAAUGAAAGUAGAAGCUAAGUGGGAAGGGUUAUUCUUUAAAACAAACAUGUUGUAUGCAUUUUAGUGUAAACACAGCGUGGAGGAAGUUCAUAUCAUUUUAUGCAAGUAGCAUGAAGAUCUAAAAAUAAAGGUACAGUGAUACAAGGAAAUUUUGGUUGGAAAUGAGUAUACCAUAGUAGAGCAUGAGAAAGAUAUAUAACUCUGUUCACUAGAGUUUUUAUAAAAAGUGCUAUAUAUAUAGGUAUUAAAAAUGAAAAGGAAAACUUUUAAAGUUUGAGGAACAGAGAGUUAUCACUUUAAAGAGUUUGGAAUUAGCUUGUGAAUUGGCAAUGGUGGUAGAAGUGGUUCCUUGAAUUUGGGAUGAAGGGAUAAUACAAUGUAUGCAGUUGAACUCAUUAGUGAGAUAAAGUUAUUUUUGUUAUUGUUUUAAGAUGGUUAAAGUAUGAUAUAGCUGAAUUUGAGAAACUAAAAAAUAAGGGAGGCAAAAGUUCUUAAAAUAGUAUUACAAUUAAAAAAAAAUUGAUAUUGACCCUUUGUAUUUGAACCUACCUACCUAUGUUUGAUGUAGUUUUGAACACCCAAAGGAAAAUGAAACAUGUUUUCCAGACUCAUUUAUUGAAGAGAGAAUCCAUCAUUAACACACCAAGAACAGAGGUGUUAAACACUUUUGACCUCUCUAAACAAACAUCAACCACCCUCAUUAUGAUGUAAUGACUAAUGACAAAUCAAUGCCAUGUUUCUAGGUGCUGAUAAAAAGAAAUCAUAAGAUAGGCAUUAUAAAUAAUGUGAUUAUGCAGCAACUUCUGACUCAAACAUUCAGACAUUUCUCCUUUUAGCUUCCAUUAGUGUUUUAACAAUGAGAAUGUACUGUGCACUCUUCUGCUUCUGGUUUCCCUUGUUGCUCCUUUCCAACUUAGCUUCUGUUUUUGCCACAACUCAAAUUUCAGGUUUGUGUUGGUUUCUGUUAUUUAUAAAUGAAAGAGUUAUUUAUUUGAAUAACUACAUUUAUGAAGGAAACACUAUUAGAAUGUAAUUGUUGUAUGAUGGGCUAAUUUGAGAAAUUGACAUAAUGUAAGAACAUCAGUUAUUAACUUAUACAUUUAUUGCAUUUCUUAUGUAGGCAAUGAAGUGAACAAGUAUGGGAAUAAUGCAGAAGGCCAUGAUGAAGAAUCAAAAUUCAAAGGAUUGUUUACUAAACCAAUUCCAUUUGUUAAACCUAUUCUAAAGCCAGUUCCUGUUAUUAAACCUAUUCCAAAGCCAGUUCCUGUUAUUAAACCUAUUCUAAAGCCAAUUCCUGUUAUUAAACCUAUUCUAAAACCAAUUCCUGUUAUCAAACCUAUUCUAAAACCAAUUCCUGUUAUCAAACCUAUUCUAAAACCAAUUCCUGUUAUCAAACCUAUUCCAAAGCCAGUUCCUGUUAUUAAACCUAUUCCUAUUCCAGUUUUUAAUAAGCCUGUACCAAAAUCAAUUUCCAUUAAGCCCACACCAAAACCAAUUCCAGACAUAAAGCCAAUUCCCAGUGAAGAAGUAAAAUUCAAAGGUCUUUUCCCAAAACCUAUUCCCAAAAUUAAGGCAAUACCAAAGGUAAUUCCAGUUGUUAAGC